UACGUAGGGGGCAAGCGUUGUCCGGAAUUAUUGGGCGUAAAGCGCGCGCAGGCGGCUUCUUAAGUCUGAUGUGAAAGCCCGUGGCUCAACCACGGAGGGUCAUUGGAAACUGGGGAGCUUGAGUGCAGAAGAGGAGAGUGGAAUUCCACGUGUAGCGGUGAAAUGCGUAGAUAUGUGGAGGAACACCAGUGGCGAAAGCGGCUCUCUGGUCUGUAACUGACGCUGAGGCGCGAAAGCGUGGGGAGCAAACAGG
rnacentral:rRNA from 1 species